rnacentral:rRNA from 1 species
UACGUAGGGUGCAAGCGUUAAUCGGAAUUACUGGGCGUAAAGCGUGCGCAGGCGGUAAUGUAAGACAGUUGUGAAAUCCCCGGGCUCAACCUGGGAACUGCAUCUGUGACUGCAUUGCUGGAGUACGGCAGAGGGGGAUGGAAUUCCGCGUGUAGCAGUGAAAUGCGUAGAUAUGCGGAGGAACACCGAUGGCGAAGGCAAUCCCCUGGGCCUGCACUGACGCUCAUGCACGAAAGCGUGGGGAGCAAACAGG